AGAGUUUGAUCCUGGCUCAGGAUGAACGCUGGCGGCGUGCCUAACACAUGCAAGUCGAACGAAGCAGGGGGGCGGAAUCUCUCCGGAGGGGAAGCCCCCCUGACUGAGUGGCGGACGGGUGAGUAACGCGUGGACAACCUACCCCGCACUGGGGGACAACAGCUGGAAACGGCUGCUAAUACCGCAUAUGCGCACGGCCCCGCAUGGGGCCGCGCGGAAAGCGCAUGCGGUGCGGGAUGGGUCCGCGUCUGAUUAGCUUGUUGGCGGGGUAACGGCCCACCAAGGCGACGAUCAGUAGCCGGCCUGAGAGGGUGGACGGCCACAUUGGGACUGAGACACGGCCCAGACUCCUACGGGAGGCAGCAGUGGGGGAUAUUGCACAAUGGGGGCAACCCUGAUGCAGCGACGCCGCGUGAGCGAUGGAGUACUUCGGUAUGUAAAGCUCUGUCAGCAGGGAAGAGAAUGACGGUACCUGACCAAGAAGCCCCGGCUAAAUACGUGCCAGCAGCCGCGGU
rnacentral:rRNA from 1 species